UGGGGAAUAUUGCACAAUGGGCGCAAGCCUGAUGCAGCCAUGCCGCGUGUAUGAAGAAGGCCUUCGGGUUGUAAAGUACUUUCAGCGGGGAGGAAGGGAGUAAAGUUAAUACCUUUGCUCAUUGACGUUACCCGCAGAAGAAGCACCGGCUAACUCCGUGCCAGCAGCCGCGGUAAUACGGAGGGUGCAAGCGUUAAUCGGAAUUACUGGGCGUAAAGCGCACGCAGGCAGUUUGUUAAGUCAGAUGUGAAAUCCCCGGGCUCAACCUGGGAACUGCAUCUGAUACUGGCAAGCUUGAGUCUCGUAGAGGGGGGUAGAAUUCCAGGUGUAGCGGUGAAAUGCGUAGAGAUCUGGAGGAAUACCGGUGGCGAAGGCGGCCCCCUGGACGAAGACUGACGCUCAGGUGCGAAAGCGUGGGGAGCAAACAGG
rnacentral:rRNA from 1 species